rnacentral:rRNA from 1 species
AGCGAACGCUGGCGGCAGGCCUAACACAUGCAAGUCGAACGGACCCUUCGGGGUUAGUGGCGGACGGGUGAGUAACACGUGGGAACGUGCCUUUAGGUUCGGAAUAGCUCCUGGAAACGGGUGGUAAUACCGAAUGUGCCCUUCGGGGGAAAGAUUUAUCGCCUUUAGAGCGGCCCGCGUCUGAUUAGCUAGUUGGUGAGGUAAAGGCUCACCAAGGCGACGAUCAGUAGCUGGUCUGAGAGGAUGACCAGCCACAUUGGGACUGAGACACGGCCCAAACUCCUACGGGAGGCAGCAGUGGGGAAUCUUGCGCAAUGGGCGAAAGCCUGACGCAGCCAUGCCGCGUGAAUGAUGAAGGUCUUAGGAUUGUAUAAUUCUUUCACCGGGGACGAUAAUGACGGUACCCGGAGAAGAAGCCCCGGCUAACUUCGUGCCAGCCGCCGCCGUAAUAC